rnacentral:rRNA from 1 species
GACGGAGGGUGCUAGCGUUGUCCGGAAUCACUGGGCGUAAAGGGCGCGCAGGCGGCCCCCGCCCGUCGGGCGUGAAAGCCCGGGGCUCAACCCCGGAACGGCGCCCGAGACGGCGGGGCUGGAGACCGGGAGAGGAGGGUGGAAUAGCCAGUGUAGAGGUGAAAUUCGUAGAUAUUGGCUGGAACACCGGUGGCGAAAGCGGCUCUCUGGCCCGGGUCUGACGCUGAGGCGCGAAAGCGGUGGGGAGCAAACAGG